CAUACAUUCUGGGAGAAUGGCACAUCAAAGCCGACAGAUGUUAUGUGGGUCCAAGAGAUAUUUACCCACCUUUUAGCUUUUACAUCUAGAAUAUAUUUUUAAUUAGAUUUUCCACCUUUACAGCAGGAAUAUCACCCAAAGAUUGAAAUAAUUUCUGAAAUGACAUAUGACAGUGAUUCAGCAUUAGAGGAAAACAAUAAAAGGAUGUUUGAGAAUUCAGAAGGAGAUGUUCCAACAGCAGUCUUUUCAAAUGCAUGUAAGAUACAUAAACAGCAUGGAAAGGAGCACUUAAGACCCCUUGUUGAAAGCUUCUUUACACAGCCUCCUAAUUCCAAAAGAUACCAGGAGAUCAAAGGUCAACAAACAACCCCCUCGAGACCCUUGAUACAAGAGAUUAACACUGAGCCUGAGGAUAAUCUACUCUUGUCACCAGUCUAUAAGCAACCAGAUAACCCAAGCCCAACAGAGGAGGAUGGGAAUGGCAGCAAUGGAGAAGCACAGUACCCAGCUGAGAGUGGAGGAUGUCCUCAUGAGGCAUGGGACGACAAGGAUGGUGAGAGUGGUUUAGAUUAAUCACUUUGCAAAAAUACUCCAAGUAUUCAGGGCAGCUGGCAGCAUUCGAUCCUUUGUAAGUGAUUGCACUAUUGUGUUGCAGUUAUAGUAAUUUCUCUGCUGUCAUUUUUCCCUUGCAUCCUAGGAAUUACUUGGUUGAAUGUUUAUGUCUUAAGGUUUCGUUACAUAUGUACUUUCAGUGCAUACGGUAACAUGUUUCUCUCACUUGAACUAAAUAAAGAUUUUACUUGUAACCACAUAUAUUUUAACUUGUAUAAUCUCAUAUUUCAUACCAGAUGAACCUUGAUGACAAAUGGAGAUUGCCUCUCAACAUGGUCUUUUAUGGAUCUAACAUUUAUAGACAUCAUUGUUUAUACAAAACCAGAUGCAGAACUAGCAUCCAUGCAUGAACAUCUGGUUUUACGUGUUCAGGCGAUCUGCGAUGGAGCAUAUGCUUAUAUCUGCCAUUUUCAUCAUUUUUCAUUGUGUGAUGUGUGUCAGGAUCUGAAUUUCAAAUAUAACAGAAGAAUAACCAGCUUGAUAGUCAUGGCAGAAAGGCAGCUUUGGCGUAAAAAACCAAUCAAAGGAAUUCUUCUUCCAUUUGUUUCUCUCUUAUACCACAGUCAUAGUCUUGUGCCAAAGUGAAAUGUAAGAUAAUAGCAGAGAUGCCUCAGUCAGGUUCUCUC
rnacentral:lncRNA from 1 species